rnacentral:rRNA from 1 species
GACGAACGCUGGCGGCGUGCUUAACACAUGCAAGUCGAACGGUGAAGGGGCCUGCUUUUGUGGGCCCUGGAUGAGUGGCGAACGGGUGAGUAACACGUGAGUAACCUGCCCCCUUCUUCUGGAUAACCGCAUGAAAGUGUGGCUAAUACGGGAUAUUCUGGGUCUGUCGCAUGAUGGGUCUGGGAAAGAUUGCGCCUUUGGGUGUUUUUGGUGGGGGAUGGGCUCGCGGCCUAUCAGCUUGUUGGUGGGGUGAUGGCCUACCAAGGCGGUGACGGGUAGCCGGCCUGAGAGGGUGGACGGUCACACUGGGACUGAGACACGGCCCAGACUCCUACGGGAGGCAGCAGUGGGGAAUAGUGCACAAUGGGCGCAAGCCUGAUGCAGCGACGCCGCGUGAGGGAGGGAGGCCUUCGGGGUGUAAACCUCUUUCGCCAGUGAAGCAGGCCUGCUCCUUGUGGGUGGGUUGACGGUAGCUGGAUAAGAAGCGCCGGCUAACUACGUG